GACGAACGCUGGCGGCGUGCCUAAUACAUGCAAGUAGAACGCUGAAGGAGGAGCUUGCUUCUCCGGAUGAGUUGCGAACGGGUGAGUAACGCGUAGGUAACCUGCCUGGUAGCGGGGGAUAACUAUUGGAAACGAUAGCUAAUACCGCAUAACAGUAGAUGUUGCAUGACAUUUGCUUAAAAGGUGCAAUUGCAUCACUACCAGAUGGACCUGCGUUGUAUUAGCUAGUUGGUGAGGUAACGGCUCACCAAGGCGACGAUACAUAGCCGACCUGAGAGGGUGAUCGGCCACACUGGGACUGAGACACGGCCCAGACUCCUACGGGAGGCAGCGGUAGGGAAUCUUCGGCAAUGGACGGAAGUCUGACCGAGCAACGCCGCGUGAGUGAAGAAGGUUUUCGGAUCGUAAAGCUCUGUUGUAAGAGAAGAACGAGUGUGAGAGUGGAAAGUUCACACUGUGACGGUAUCUUACCAGAAAGGGACGGCUAACUACGUG
rnacentral:rRNA from 1 species